rnacentral:lncRNA from 1 species
CCAAGUUGAGAGGGACCGUAGGACUCUAGAUCUUAUUGUCUGCAGAUGCUCUCUGCAUUUGUUGUGACUCGUAAUAAGUGCUUGUUCAAAUCGAUACAUCUCCUCUGCUUUAUUAACAGGCAUUAACUUCAGAGCUGAGAAAUGAAGUUCUAAGGUGUGAGGAUAGGUUCCUUUAGAACAGCAGUUCUCAGGGGAUGACAUUCUUCCCAGAGAGAUUUAGCACCGCCUGGUGACAGUUUGGGUUCUCAUAACUAAGUAGUACAGCGGGCACUGACAUCUAGAAUUUGGAAGCCAGGGAUGCCAUCGAACACCCUGCUAUGCACAGGACAGCCCCAUGACAAAAACAAUCCAGCCCCAAAUGUCAACAGUGCUGACAUUGACAGCAGUGUUCUGGGGGAUGCUGAAGUCGACCUGCUUUAUGCAGAGGGUCAUCAUAUAAAUCAACACUGCUCAUCGGGUCUUCCUGAAGCCAGCAGCUUCCUUAGGGA